CAUUUCCUACGAUGCUGUAUUAAUAGCUAAAAACUAAACAAACUAAAGAAAAACUAAUCAGUCAACUCUGCAGUUUCUCUAAUCUCCGUGGAAUGUCCUCUCUCGCUGUUGUGGUUCUCAGCCUGUGAACUCUGACCUCUGGUUUUCAGCCCCUGUUCUCUCUGAGAACAUCGAACAAACGAUCACAUUCUGCUCUAUCUGCGUCUUCUUAAACUUUGGAUCAUCUCAACUUGAAAACCGUCAUGACAGUCAUGUGACUUCUGGCUCCAAAACGCUGAUAUCAGUGACUCCCUCAUCUCCGUACUGCAGAUCGACACAAAGCAGUGCAGGAUUUGAAGUGGAAGGAAAGCGAUGUGCGGAUUUUGUGAAAUUUCACACGUAAAAAUCUGUAAAGUGUGGCAUGCUUUUUGUAGCAAGGUUACUUUAGUUUUUGUCAACUGAUAAAAAUAAAAAUUGUAAUUAAUGAGGGAAAAACUAUAACAGGAACUAUAUUGUGCGUUUAUAAAAUUAACUAAAACUUACUAAAAUUCUGCUUUCAUGUUUAUAAAUCUAUUUAUUAGCAUUUCGAAUUGAAGUGAAAUUGAUUUUUGUCCACACACAACCAGUUCACCACUUCAUACCUGCCUGUGCUUCUGUCUGGUAGUGAAUAUUAAACAGUGGAUAGCAUCUUCAGAAAA